rnacentral:RNase_P_RNA from 14 species
CUAGAUGGAAGAUCGUGACACAAAAAACAAAACCAAAACCGAAAAUAUAGUGCGCGUCUUUUUUUUCCCCUUUGCUACCCUUUUUUUCCUUUUUGUCUUUCUGUGCCUCGCCGCUCAUCUACUCACAAGGAGAGGAAACAGCGAACGGUGAUUUUGUCUUUCGUGACACAUAAAAUAAAAAUAAUUACAUUUAAAUCUUU